rnacentral:rRNA from 1 species
CGGAACGGGUGAGUAACGCGUGAGGAACCUGCCUCAAAGAGGGGGACAACAGUUGGAAACGACUGUUAAUACCGCAUAAGCCCACGGCUCGGCAUCGAGCAGAGGGAAAAGGAGUGAUCCACUUUGGGAUGGCCUCGCGUCCGAUUAGCUAGUUGGUGAGGUAACGGCCCACCAAGGCGACGAUCGGUAGCCGGACUGAGAGGUUGAACGGCCACAUUGGGACUGAGACACGGCCCAG